rnacentral:rRNA from 1 species
AGUGAACGCUGGCGGUAGGCCUAACACAUGCAAGUCGAACGGCAGCACAGUAAGAGCUUGCUCUUACGGGUGGCGAGUGGCGGACGGGUGAGGAAUACAUCGGAAUCUACUUUUUCGUGGGGGAUAACGUAGGGAAACUUACGCUAAUACAGCAUACGACCUACGGGUGAAAGCAGGGGAUCUUCGCACCUUGCGCGAUUGAAUGAGCCGAUGUCGGAUUAGCUAGUUGGCGGGGUAAAGGCCCACCAAGGCGACGAUCCGUAGCUGGUCUGAGAGGAUGAUCAGCCACACUGGAACUGAGACACGGUCCAGACUCCUACGGGAGGCAGCAGUGGGGAAUAUUGGACAAUGGGCGCAAGCCUGAUCCAGCCAUACCGCGUGGGUGAAGAAGGCCUUCGGGUUGUAAAGCCCUUUUGUUGGGAAAGAAAAGCAGCAGGUUAAUACCCCGCUGUUCUGACGGUACCCAAAGAAUAAGCACCGGCUAACUUCGUG